AUGGGGCCCCUCUCAGCGCCUCCCUGCACACUGCACAUCACCUGGAAGGAGCUCCUGCUCACAGCGUCAUUUUUAGUCUUCUGGAACCCGCCCACCACUGCCCAAGUCAUGAUUGAAGCUCAGCCUACCAAAGUUUCCGAGGGGAAGGAUGUUCUUCUACUUGUCCGCAAUUUGCCCCAGAAAGUUGCUGCCUAUGUCUGGUACAAAGGGCAAAUAAUGGACUUCCACCAAUUCAUUACAGCAUAUACAAUAGAUCCUGAAAGAAUUAUAUUUGGGUAUGCAUACAGUGGACGAGAAACACUAUAUUCCAAUGCAUCCCUGCUGAUCCGGAAUGUUACAAAGCAGGACACAGGGUCCUACACCGUAAAAAUCAUGAAUCGAAUGGAGGAGACUAAAGGAGUAACUGUACAUUUCACCUUAUACCUGGAGACUCCCAAGCCCUACAUCUCCAGCAGCAAGUUAAACCCCAGGGAGGGCACGGAGACUGUGAUCUUAUCCUGUGAUCCUGACACUCAGGAUGUAAGCUACCUGUGGUGGAUAAAUGGUCAGAGCCUCCCUAUCAGUCGCCCGUGGCAGCUGUCCGAAAACAACAGGAUCCUCAUUCUAUAUGGUGUCACAAAGGAUAUUGCAGGACGCUAUGAAUGUGAAAUGAAGAACCCAGUGAGUUCCAGCCGCAGUGACCCAGUCACCCUGAAUCUCAUCUAUGGUCCACAAGUCCCCAGGAUUUUCUCUCCAUUUAACUUUUACCUUUCUGGAAAUACUCUCGAAUUGUCCUGCUUCGUGGACUCUAACCCACCGGCAGAGUAUUCUUGGACGAUUAAUGGGAAGUUUCUGCAAUCAGGACAAAAGCUCUCUAUCCCCCAAAUUACUACAGAGCAUAGCGGGCUCUAUGGUUGCUCUGCUCGUAAUUCAGCCACUGGCAGGGAACGUUCCACAUUCAGGAGGAUCACAGUCGUGGGUAAGUGGAUCCCUGCAUCAUUGGCAAUAGGGCUUUAGGUGGAGUCUAUCUGGCUUUCAGAGAAGUGUCAGGAAAACAUUUUUAUUCACAGCCUGUGUCCCAUGGGCAGAAGCAAAUCCUAAAUUCUCCUUUUGAACCCUCCCAAAUUGUCUCUACAGACUCUCUUCUCCUUGUUUUCUCAUAGCUGACCUUGUGUCCAGUCUGACAAGGGUAGGGAAGGGGCUUUUUCAGCCCUGAGCCCUAUGUGGUGGAAGAGGCUUAAUAGAGGGACAAGAAGGAGAGUCCUCAAGGUCACGUUGCUUCUCGCUGUCACCAACACAUCCCUUUCUGCCACGUCUUUGUUUCCUUUUACCUACUCUGAGGCUUUGAAACAAGCUCACGUUUUUCCCUCAAAUGAGAGGAGGAAGCCCCUUGGAUGAGGGAGGAGCAGCUCAGACUGCUCCCUUCUCUGCUCUGGCUUCUCUGGUGACAGGCCCUGCCUGACUCCACCUGGGGUGAGACCAGCAAAUGUGGAGAAAGUGCACUGGUGAACUGUCCUGAAUUCGGCUAAAUCGAGCUGCCAGUUUAAGUGAAGCCUAGGCUGCAGGGACAUAAGAGGAGACGGAGCCUCAGGGAAGACUUUUGAGCUGUGUCCUUGCUCUGAAGUCACCGGCUAUAUGAGGCUGUGGGCACUGCAUGUGGGACACAGCACAGAGGACAGCGAGUGAUGCACACUUGAAUAAAUAGGGAGAUUCACCUCUGGGGCUCUGCAUGGCAGGAAAGGGACCAUGAAAAAAGGGUGUAUUUAUAGAGUGUAAGACUACCAGGACACUUUAUAUAUAUCUAAUAUAAGACUUAUCAUUAACUAUUUCUACGUGUGCAAUUUAGUGUUGUGUAAGCAUCACACUAUCCAUUUCCAGAACUUUUUCCUUUUACCAUAUUAAACCUCUGUUCCCUAUAAACAGUAACUCUCACUUCUUCUCCCCCUAUCCCUUAGCACAUACCAUUCUACUUUCUGUCUCUAUAUAACUGGCUAUUCUAUCUUUUAUAAAUGGAAUUAUAGAAUAAUUAUCCUUUCG